rnacentral:rRNA from 1 species
GACGAACGCUGGCGGCGUGCCUAAUACAUGCAAGUAGAACGCUGAAGGAGGAGCUUGCUUCUCCGGAUGAGUUGCGAACGGGUGAGUAACGCGUAGGUAACCUGCCUGGUAGCGGGGGAUAACUAUUGGAAACGAUAGCUAAUACCGCAUAAGAGUAGAUGUUGCAUGACAUUUGCUUAAAAAGUGCAAUUGCAUCACUACCAGAUGGACCUGCGUUGUAUUAGCUAGUUGGUGGGGUAACGGCUCACCAAGGCGACGAUACAUAGCCGACCUGAGAGGGUGAUCGGCCACACUGGGACUGAGACACGGCCCAGACUCCUACGGGAGGCAGCAGUAGGGAAUCUUCGGCAAUGGACGGAAGUCUGACCGAGCAACGCCGCGUGAGUGAAGAAGGUUUUCGGAUCGUAAAGCUCUGUUGUAAGAGAAGAACGAGUGUGAGAGUGGAAAGUUCACACUGUGACGGUAUCUUACCAGAAAGGGACGGCUAACUACGUGCCAGCAGCCGCGGUAAUACGUAGGUCCCGAGCGUUGUCCGGAUUUAUUGGGCGUAAAGCGAGCGCAGGCGGUUAGAUAAGUCUGAAGUUAAAGGCUGUGGCUUAACCAUAGUACGCUUUGGAAACUGUUUAACUUGAGUGCAAGAGGGGAGAGUGGAAUUCCAUGUGUAGCGGUGAAAUGCGUAGAUAUAUGGAGGAACACCGGUGGCGAAAGCGGCUCUCUGGCUUGUAACUGACGCUGAGGCUCGAAAGCGUGGGGAGCAAACAGG